rnacentral:rRNA from 1 species
UACGGGGGGGAGCAAGCGUUUGUUCGGAUUUACUGGGCGUAAAGGGCGCGUAGGCGGUCGUGACAAGUCACUUGUGAAAUCCCCGGGCUUAACCUGGGAACUGCGUUUGAAACUACAAGGCUAGAGUGUGGCAGAGGGGGGGUGGAAUUCCACGUGUAGCAGUGAAAUGCGUAGAGAUGUGGAGGAACACCGAUGGCGAAGG